rnacentral:rRNA from 1 species
CAGCAGCGCGGUAAUACAGAGGGUGCGAGCGUUAAUCGGAUUUACUGGGCGUAAAGCGUGCGUAGGCGGCUUUUUAAGUCGGAUGUGAAAUCCCUGAGCUUAACUUAGGAAUUGCAUUCGAUACUGGGAAGCUAGAGUAUGGGAGAGGAUGGUAGAAUUCCAGGUGUAGCGGUGAAAUGCGUAGAGAUCUGGAGGAAUACCGAUGGCGAAGGCAGCCAUCUGGCCUAAUACUGACGCUGAGGUACGAAAGCAUGGGGAGCAAACAGGAUUAGAUACCCCCGUAGUCCCUGUCUCUUAUACA